GAGACAGGGUUUGUCUGUAUAGCCCUGGCUGUCCUGGAAUUCAUUUUGUAGACCAAGCUGGCCUCGGACUCAGAAAUCCGCCUGCCUUUGCCUCCCGAGUGCUGGGAUUAAGGGUGUGUGCCACCACGCAUUUGAGUACAGAAGAGAAUGUGAAAUGGUCUAAUUUUUAAAAGAGCUUUACAACUUAGUGAUUUUUUUUUCCUUUUAAAAAAACACAAUCUCACAUAGCCCAAGCUGUAGCUUACUCUGAGCUCACUGUGUUGGUGAAGACUACCUUGAACUUCUGAUAUUCACGCAUUCACUUCUUGAGUGUUGGAAUUACAGGUAUGCCUGUUUAUCAUAGUGAUGGAGGCAAAUAUAGGGCUUCGUGCAUACUGAGCAAACACUACCAACUGAGCUGCAGCCCUGACUCAUUAGUUUAUUUCAUGAAUAUAACUUGAAAAAUAAGAGGGCAGAGGGCUUUCAAUUAUGUAGAAUUUGAUCACAGAACCCACUUACAUGUUGUUUUAAUGUUAAACGGUGUAAAUUCAGAUCCCUUAAUAUCCUUUCAUGUAUUUCUGGGGCUAUGUUAAAAAAAAAACAAAAACAAACAAACCACAACAAAAAGAGGGCAGUGGUGGCACAUGCCUUUAAUCCCAGCACUUGGGAGGCAGAGGCAGGUGGAUUUCUUGAGUUCGAGGCCAGCCUGGUCUACAGAGUGAGUUCCAGGACAGCCAGAGCUACCCAGAGAAACCCUCUCUCAAAAAAACACCCAAAAAACCUUAUUAGGUAAUAGGAAUGCAAACCAGAGCCGGGCAUAGUGGUACCUGCUUUCAUCCUAGCAUCCAGGAAGAAGCAGGCAGAACUUUCUGAGUUAAAAGCCAGCCAAUAGAUGUAGCCAUCUGAAGACCAAACUUAGUGCUUUGUACAAACAUGGCAUGAUUACACUUCCCCAGAUCUCAUUAAAAUUUUGAAAUUGUGUGCUGGGAGGUUAAGAGUCCAUUCCAGCACUCACCUUGGAACUCACAACCAAUCUAGAAACCUCUUAUAUUUAUUGGCGCCUAUACACAAACACACACACACUUUCCCUCUCUCUCAAGGAGCUCAUAAAGUUUUAGUCUAAAAAUAUAUUAAGCUCAGUUAAGGGCAGAACUGUCUUUCUUCCAUUCAUUUUGGACUCUGGAGGCACAAGUAUCUCUAGAAGAUCUUGUUACUAUGUUUUCAGGGUCAUGACACUCAAUAAUGAUAUAAACCUUAACAUAUAUUCUGAAUUUGUGCCUGAGCAUAUGUGCAGCCCAUUUAUGCAGAUGCUCAUGGAGGCAAGAGGGUGUCAGAUCUCCUGGAACUGUAAUUUGUGAGAUAUCAAAUUUAGGUACUGUGAUUUCUGCAAGAGCAAGGGCUCUUAACUGAUCUGUCAUCUUCCCCAUCCCUAACAGACUUUACUUCUAAAUACAUGGACAAUUGUACAUGUCCCUGUCGUAGACUAGCCUAUUACACCCGGGAUCAGAUGCUAAAUCAAAUUUUAAGGGACUAAGCAAUGUACCAGUUUUAUAAUCUAACAAGAUAUUCAUUUAACCAUUACACAACAACUACUGUGUACAUGCUAAGCAGAAAAGGUCCAAUUCAUGUAACACCAUCUGGCUGCUAAGUACAGCUUGCUGGUGUGUGAACGUCUUUUGCUGCAGCAAAGAGGAGCUAGAAAGUAGAUUGUUUGUAAUCAGCUUUUGGAGAGAGGGCGUUAUAAAUCUUGAAGGUGAUUUCUCUACUUCUAUUGGUUGACUACCACUUUCUAAGUCAAAUGAUAAAAUUGUACAUUAAUUCAUAAUUAUUUUCUUAAAAAAAAAACUAAAAAGAGAAUUGGCUGGGCAGUGGUGGCCAUGCACACUUUUAUUCCCAGCACUCAGUGGGCAGAGGCAGGCAGGAACUCAAGACCAGCCUGGUUUAUAGAGCAAAUUCUCAGCCAGCCAGGGUUACAGACUGACAUCCUGUCUUGAAAACAACAAAACAAGCCGGGUAGUGGUGGUACACACCUUUAAUCCUAGCACUUGGGAGGCAGAGGCAGGUGGGCUGACAAGUUUGGGGCCAAGCUGGUCUACAAGGUAAAACUGUCUUAAAAAGCCAGUUUAUUCUAAAACUGUAAUAUAUCUACCAUACUAAUAGUACCAUACGACCCAGGCAGAUUAACUGUUCUGGAAGGGAAAUAACCAUAGAAAGCCCUUUAUCCUAUAUGCUUAGGAUCAACAAUGUAGUAUUCAGUUCUUGGAACUUGGAAUAGCAGUGGUCUAUGUGUAUUGUAGUUGGCAGGUUGGCACUAGGAAUCAGAGGUCAGUACCUCUGUUACUAAGUACCACUUACAGUUAAGUAGUAUCAGUACUGAUAGGUCAGAUUCUGGUCUAAGGCUUCCUAUGUGGAGCAGAGGGUCUUGGGAAUCAUUCUUUACGUUUACUACUGUGUUUGUCCAAGAAAUGUUUUUGUCUAGAUUGCUUUUCAUCCUGGACAAGCAUGUGAAAAUCUGUGUGUCUAAGGACUGUUAACUUGUGAGCUGUGAACACGAACUCCAAAAAUCUUGGUACUAUUUUCCUUGGAGAGAGGAGUUGAUCAAUGAUUACACUGUAAAGACAAAACAGAGAUAAUUAUUGCAGCAUAAAUAUAUACAUCUGAAGCCGUAAAAACAUAUGUAGUUCUAAGCCAUAAGCCAGGAAUGGUGGUACAUACCUUUAAUCCCAGUAACUAGGAUGGAUGUUUUCUGAGACGUGAUCUUGGAAUGCCCAAGUCAGCUCUUAACUGAAGCUUUCAUGUCUUGGUAUGUUUAUGAAACCAUGCACAGAUGGUAUGCUUUAAACAGAACUUUUGUCACCAGGUCUGUAUGACAAUGAUUCCUGCACCUCUUUGGGAUAUGUGCAGAAAACGUACUCAAAAUACUCAAAAAUGUAAUUUUCUUCCUGCUUUUCCUUGAUCCAAGUAGCAGUUCCUGUACAGUGGACUAAGGUUGAACAAACCUGUUAUAUUUUCAGCUCCUCUCCUUGUUAAAGGAUAUCGUCAACCUCGCUUUUAAGGUUUUUAUUGUGUUACUGUAUAACAGUGUAUGUGAAUUCAGGUAAGGUCAGGGAACAACUUUCCAGGUCUUCCUUGUAAUGUGGGUUCUGGGGUUCAAACAAAUCAGGUUUACCUUCUGAGUUACCUGGACAGCCU
rnacentral:lncRNA from 1 species